GUGAACGACCUCUUGCAGUACGAGCCCUUGUCCGACGCUGCUCUGGGCUUCUACUGCGAGCUCUUAUUUGACCCCUACGUGGUUGCUCCACUGGAGGCAAGGUUGGGGGAGCCAAGGUUGGGGGAGCCAAGGUUGGGGGAGCUAUAGCUGGGGGAACUAGGGUUGGGGAACUAGGGUUGGGGGAACUAGGGUUGGGGGAGCCAGGGUUGGGGGAGCCAGGGUUGGGGGAACUAGGGUUGGAGGAGCUAGGGUUGGAGGAGCUAGGGUUGGAGGAGCUAAGGUUGGAGGAGCUAAGGUUGGAGGAGCUAAGGUUGGGGGAGCUGAUGCAUUAACUUCCCGGUUUAGAGACAGGGUGCUAGGAACUGGCAGCUCUGGCUCUACUAUAACAGCCAGCUCGUCUACCACUGGUUCUUCAACCACCUCUGCAGUCUCCAUGAGACUCUCCGGCUCAGACACAGGGCCAUCUGCUCUUUCCUGGCCCCCUUCCAGCCUUUCUGUCUGCGUUUGCUGUUCAGCAAUGUUGCGAUUGACAU